rnacentral:rRNA from 1 species
AUGGAGAGAGACAUAUGGAUGUGCAGAUUCAUGCAACGCGUCGCAUCGCAUGGUAGCGUAUGGAAAUGGCUGCCAAUUCUGUGCGACGCGUGGCAAGGAAAUUGCGCCGCAGGAGGAAUAGACGACCGUAAUCCAGCUGCUAGGCUGUGCAUUCCUAGUUUCCUACACGUGCCUCUGCACAAAUCGAUGCUCAUGUUACCUACUGUACUACUACCUAUCUGCUCGUGCCGAUGUUACUACUACAGCAGUGGUGUCGAUGUCGAUCUUGCCACUACUAUAGUAGCUACAGAAGCAGGCUACGAAGGCUCGUUGUGA